AGGGGGGGGCUGCGCUAUGGGGCCAUGCUGUGGGACUGUGCCCUAUAGACACCCCAUAAUGCCAUGUGCGCUGAGCCAUGGCUGAGCCGUGCCCGGUUGACGUCGGUCCUCCCAGCGAUGGCGGCGAUGCCGUCGGAGGUCCCGGUGGCGCCGUGGGUGGUCCCGGUGACGCCGUGGGUGGUCCCGGUGGAGCCGUGGGUGGUCCCGGUGGCGCCGUGGGUGGUCCCGGUGGAGCCGUGGGUGGUCCCGGUGGAGCCGUGGGGGACACUCUGCCGUGGAGAAGGGGGAAACGCCACCCGCGGGCGCAGCGCGGCGCCGCCAUCAGCGGCAAUGGGAGCGUCCCCGACCCCGCCGAGAGGGCCGUCAUACGCAUCGCAGGU
ensembl:lncRNA